GGGCGUAGCCAGCGCCGUAGCCAGCGCCGUGACGUAACGCAGGAUUUAUGGAAGACUGUCGCCCCUCAGCUCGUCUUCCAGCCAUUGGCGGGUCGCCUCCCGAGCGGCUGCGCCAAGGCAGGCGGGGCGCCACGAGGGCCUGGAGCUGGUACUGAGUGAGUUUGUUUCCACCCCCGCAGGACAGUCGUCGAUUACAACCCCGAUAGGCGAGAAACAGGACCCUCGCAGUCAUCUGGAAACCGGGCAGUGGAAGGUGACGAGGACUGAAGUUGGGCUGAAAGGUGAAGGAAGCUGAAGCAGAGCAUCUGCCUAACUUGAUCAAGGCCACAGCUGGCUGUGAUGGACUGAAGGACUUCAAGUACAGUAAAAAAACAAGAGCAGCUCCAGGGGAAAUUUUCUUGUUCGGGUAGAAUCUAUAUGAUCAAUCAGAAAAGUUAAUGCUGUGAUUUUUUUAACCUUCUAGUUUUCCUUUGAGCAACUAUAAGCUAUGAACCCUCUUCCUAGAAAAAUACACGUAUGUUUUCACAAAUUAUUUCAAAAGAUUCAUAAAUACCAACCUCCCCAUCUCAUCAAUUGUCUCCCCAAAGAUCCACAGAUCACCCUCUCCCCCCACCCAUCCACAUUCUAUUAAUAGCAACUAAAAAGAUAUGCUAACGUGGAAUAUGACUCCCGGGGAGGAAUGUAGACCCGGCAUCGUGGGAUGGAUCUUCUUGACCAAAAGGGG